rnacentral:rRNA from 1 species
CCUGGUGGAGCGGUGGAAUGCGCAGAUAUCAGGAGGAACACCAGUGGCGAAGGCGGUUCUCUGGGCCUUUCCUGACGCUGAGGAGCGAAAGCGUGGGGAGCGAACAGGCUUAGAUACCCUGGUAGUCCACGCUGUAAACGGUGGGUACUAGGUGUGGGGUCCAUUCCACGGGUUCCGUGCCGUAGCUAACGCUUUAAGUACCCCGCCUGGGGAGUACGGCCGCAAGGCUAAAACUCAAAGGAAUUGACGGGGCCCCGCACAAGCGGCGGAGCAUGCGGAUUAAUUCGAUGCAACGCGUAGAACCUUACCUGGGUUUGACAUGGAUCGGGAGUGCUCAGAGAUGGGUGUGCCUCUUUUGGGGUCGGUUCACAGGUGGUGCAUGGCUGUCGUCAGCUCGUGUCGUGAGAUGUUGGGUUAAGUCCUGCAACGAGCGCAACCCUUGUUCACUGUUGCCAGCACGUUAUGGUGGGGACUCAGUGGAGACCGCCGGGGUCAACUCGGAGGAAGGUGGGGAUGACGUCAAGUCAUCAUGCCCCUUAUGUCCAGGGCUUCACGCAUGCUACAAUGGCUGGUACAGAGAGUGGCGAGCCUGUGAGGGUGAGCGAAUCUCGGAAAGCCGGUCUCAGUUCGGAUUGGGGUCUGCAACUCGACCUCAUGAAGUCGGAGUCGCUAGUAAUCGCAGAUCAGCAACGCUGCGGUGAAUACGUUCCCGGGGCUUGUACACACCGCCCGU